AUUUAAAAAGACAGAAACUGGUACAGAGGAGGAGAGAAAAAAGCAGCUGGACCAGAGUAAGAGAGGAAAGAGAAAGAAAUUCUCAAAUGAACGACUGACAGAAAAACAAAAAUAAACACAUGACAAACCACAAGACGACUUCUGACAGGGCAGCAGCUCAGUUUGGAGGGAAAAGGAGGGCAGGAGUAAAAGAGGGCAAGUAGAGACGAUAGAGGAGGAGGUGAAAUAUAAAAUUAUACUACUGUGGUCCCACAGGAGCAAUAAAAACACGGUAGGGUCAAGACUUUCAACUUUGUGCUACAUAAAUCCUCACUGCAAAUCUCAAGUGAUGUUUUAAUAGUGUGUUGAAAAUCAGUUUUCAGAGUUUUUAUUUAUGAAGUCAAAAUUUUAAAUGUGCAGUAUGUAAGAAUGUAGUGAGAAUUUUACAGUGAGAAAAUCCCAAAAGACUCUAAUGUUUCAGUCAUUUGUCAGAAAGCUGCUGCGAGGAGAAGACUGAGCAAGCGCCGGGUGUGGCUGACACACGAUUAUUCUAGGAACGACGGCAAGAAAGGAAACGAGGCUGGGCCGAAGCUUCAGAGUGAAACAAUGACUGCUGAUGAGUUCUGGCGGGAUGGCUGGACUUCUGUAUAUACUCCGGUUAGUGACAUGAAGGCGGGCAUCCGGUGCUGCUCAGCCAUCCAGUGUUUACACCCAGGACUCUGCAGCUGCCUAUGAAGAUAAUUAGGUCAUCAAGUUGCUGGAUGACAUGGCAGACUCAUCCCUGGCAAUGACAAAUCACUGUACAGGAGGGAGGUCAUCAGUGUCGUCUGCUGGUGCAAGGACAACAACUUAGUGCUCAAUGCAGACAAGACCAAGAAGAUGAUCAUCAGCUUUUUAAGAUCACACCCUGUGCACACGUCCCUCCAGUGGCAUGAGCAGAGUGGGUCAUCGGGGCAUCAUGGACCUCCCUGACCUCUGUGCAGGAAGUCUUUCAGAACCAGAGCAGAAGACAAGCUUUGAGCAUCAUCAGGGAUGCCUCACACCUUCAGAAUGUUUGAACUGCUGCCCUCAGAGAAAGAAUGUGGUAGCAUCAGAACAAGGACAAGAAGAUACCUGAACAGCUUCAUCCCACAAGCUGUGACCUGCUACUGAGGAAACAA